GAUGAACGCUGGCGGCGUGCCUAAUACAUGCAAGUCGAGCGAACGGACGAGAAGCUUGCUUCUCUGAUGUUAGCGGCGGACGGGUGAGUAACACGUGGAUAACCUACCUAUAAGACUGGGAUAACUUCGGGAAACCGGAGCUAAUACCGGAUGAUAUUUUGAACCGCAUGGUUCAAAAGUGAAAGACGGUCUUGCUGUCACUUAUAGAUGGAUCCGCGCUGCAUUAGCUAGUUGGUAAGGUAACGGCUUACCAAGGCAACGAUGCAUAGCCGACCUGAGAGGGUGAUCGGCCACACUGGAACUGAGACACGGUCCAGACUCCUACGGGAGGCAGCAGUAGGGAAUCUUCCGCAAUGGGCGAAAGCCUGACGCAGCAACGCCGCGUGAGUGAUGAAGGUCUUCGGAUCGUAAAACUCUGUUAUUAGGGAAGAACAUAUGUGUAAUUAACUGUGCACAUCUUGACGGUACCUAAUCAGAAAGCCACGGCUAACUACGUG
rnacentral:rRNA from 1 species